rnacentral:lncRNA from 10 species
ACAGAGUGGACCAGUGACUACAGAAAGCUUGAGAGGGGCUGGAGAGAGAUGCCUUCCCCAAUAUUCAUUAUCCACACAGCACGCCACUCCUGUGAGAAGACAACAGAGAUUGUGUAUGUUUGAGAAUGUCUCUCUACCUCCAAUGUAGCCCUCCUGAAAAAUCUAGUUCAAGAUCUAUUCCAGGCCAGGCGCAGUGACUUGUUCGGAGAGUGGGCUCUGGAACUAGGCUCUGGAAGCUUCAGUUGCAGCAUUCAUUAGCUGUAUGUGUUUGGGCAAGUCACUUUACCUCUCUCUGCCUCAGUUUCCUUAUCUAUAAAAUUGGAAGAAUAAUAGUAAGUUCUACUCUGUCAGGUCAUUGUAAGGAUUGAA